UGGAUAGGGGUUCUGAGAGGAAGGUCCCCCACAUUGGAACUGAGACACGGUCCAAACUCUACGGGAGGCAGCAGUGAGGAAUAUUGGUCAAUGGGCGAGAGCCUGAACCAGCCAAGUAGCGUGAAGGAUGACUGCCUAUGGGUUGUAAACUUCUUUUAUAAAGGAAUAAGUCGGGUAUGGAUACCCGUUUGCAUGUACUUUAUGAAUAAGGAUCGGCUAACUCCGUGCCAGCAGCCGCGGUAAUACGGAGGAUCCGAGCGUUAUCCGGAUUUAUUGGGUUUAAAGGGAGCGUAGAUGGAUGUUUAAGUCAGUUGUGAAAGUUUGCGGCUCAACCGUAAAAUUGCAGUUGAUACUGGAUAUCUUGAGUGCGGUUGAGGCAGGCGGAAUUCGUGGUGUAGCGGUGAAAUGCUUAGAUAUCACGAAGAACUCCGAUUGCGAAGGCAGCCUGCUAAGCUGCAACUGACAUUGAGGCUCGAAAGUGUGGGUAU
rnacentral:rRNA from 1 species